rnacentral:rRNA from 1 species
UACGUAGGGUGCAAGCGUUGUCCGGAAUUAUUGGGCGUAAAGAGCUCGUAGGCGGUCUGCCGCGUCGGAUGUGAAAAAUCCAGGGCUCAACCCUGGACCUGCAUUCGAUACGGGCAGACUAGAGUUCGGUAGGGGAGACUGGAACUCCUGGUGUAGCGGUGAAAUGCGCAGAUAUCAGGAGGAACACCGGUGGCGAAGGCGGGUCUCUGGGCCGGUAUUGACGCUGAGGAGCGAAAGCGUGGGGGAGCAAACGGG